CGGAGAAGGCAGAACUCUGUAGUGCAGGAGAAAAGGACAAGUUAGGCGUAACUCAGUGGAGCAGAAGACCCAUCCAUCUUCCCCAUAAAAUUCGAUCCCUACACACAUUAUGUUGCUUGACCAAAAGCCCAGCCACUUCCAACAAAUAAGGAAAUGGCUGUUCUUACAUAAAGCUCCCUAAUAUAUAUUCUCUGAACAGGCUGGACACAAUCUUUAAAACAUUGGAAAUAUUAUUUUAUCCUGAUUUGAACAAACUGAUUCUAAACAGACAAAUGAAACCUGACAUGCACAAAACAACUAGGAAAAUCUGAACACUGAUAAUAUUUUA
rnacentral:lncRNA from 10 species